AUUGAACGCUGGCGGCGUGCUUAACACAUGCAAGUCGUGCGGUAACAGGCGUAGCAAUACGUGCUGACGAGCGGCGAACGGGUGCGUAAUACAUGGGAAUCUGCCUUUUAGUGGGGAAUAACCCGGCGAAAGCCGGGCUAAUGCCGCAUAAGAUCUUCGGAUGAAAGCGGGGGAGUCGUAAGACCUCGCGCUGAUAGAUGAGCCCACUGCCGGAUUAGCAGUUGGUGAGGUAACGGCUCACCAAGGCGACGAUCCGUAGCUGGUCUGAGAGGACGGCCAGCCACACUGGGACUGAGACACGGCCCAGACUCCUACGGGAGGCAGCAGUGGGGAA
rnacentral:rRNA from 1 species